rnacentral:rRNA from 1 species
GACGAACGCUGGCGGCGUGCUUAACACAUGCAAGUCGAACGCUGAGGCUCAGCUUUUGUUGGGUGGAUGAGUGGCGAACGGGUGAGUAACUCGUGAGUAACCUGCCUCCUUCUUUGGGAUAACGCCCGGAAACGGGUGCUAAUACUGGAUAUUCACUGGUCUUCGCAUGGGGGUUGGUGGAAAGGGUUUUUCUGGUGGGGGAUGGGCUCGCGGCCUAUCAGCUUGUUGGUGGGGUGAUGGCCUACCAAGGCUUUGACGGGUAGCCGGCCUGAGAGGGUGACCGGUCACAUUGGGACGGAGAUACGGCCCAGACUCCGGCGGGAGGCAGCAGUGGGGAAUAUUGCACGAUGGGCGCAAGCCUGCUGCAGCGACGCCGCGUGAGGGAUGGAGGCCUUCGGGUUGUGAACCUCUUUCGCUCAUGGUCAAGCCGCAACAAUGGUUGUGGUGAGGGUAGUGGGUAAAGAAGCGCCGGCUAACUACGUG